rnacentral:rRNA from 1 species
UACGUAGGGAGCAAGCGUUGUCCGGAAUCAUUGGGCGUAAAGCGCGCGUAGGCGGCCUCAUAAGUCCGUUGUGAAAGUCAAAGGCUCAACCUUUGAAAGCCGAUGGAUACUGUGAGGCUAGAGUCCGGAAGAGGCGAGUGGAAUUCCUGGUGUAGCGGUGAAAUGCGCAGAUAUCAGGAGGAACACCUAUUGCGAAGGCAGCUCGCUGGGACGUAACUGACGCUGAGACGCGAAAGCGUGGGGAGCAAACAGG